rnacentral:rRNA from 1 species
CAAUAGCGUAUAUUAAAGUUGUUGCAGUUAAAAAGCUCGUAGUUGGAUUUCUGGUUGGAGCGACCGGUCGGGCAUUGAUUUGUCUGCACUGGAGUCGGUUCUGGCCAUCCUCUUGGAAAGUGCGUCUGUCAUUAAGUUAUCGGGCGUAUGAUCCAGGUCUUUUACUGUGAAAAAAUUAGAGUGUUUAAAGCAGGCCUUCGCCUUGAAUACAUUAGCAUGGAAUAAUAAGAUAGGACUUUGGUCUAUUUUGUUGGUUUGCAGACCGAAGUAAUGAUUAAUAGGGAUAGUUGGGGGUAUUUAUAUUCCAAUGUCAGAGGUGAAAUUCUUAGAUUUUUGGAAGAUAAACUUAUGCGAAAGCAUUUACCAAGGAUGUUUUCAUUA